rnacentral:sRNA from 1 species
UCCGUAGGUGACCUUGCGGAGGGAUCAUUACAGAGUUGCAAAACUCCCCAAACCAUCGUGAACGCUACCCAAACCGUUGCUUCGGCGGGCGGCGCCCUCGCGCGCCCCCCUGGGCCCGCACCGCGGGCGCCCGCCGGAGGUACACCAAACUCUUGAUAUGUUAUGGCCACUCUGAGUCUUCUAUACUGAAUCAGUCAAAACUUUCAACAACGGAUCUCUUGGUUCUGGCAUCGAUGAAGAACGCAGCGAAAUGCGAUAAGUAAUGUGAAUUGCAGAAUUCAGUGAAUCAUCGAAUCUUUGAACGCACAUUGCGCCCGCCAGUAUCCUGGCGGGCAUGCCUGUUCGAGCGUCAUUUCAACCCAUCAAGCCCACGGCUUGUGUUGGGGACCUGCGGCUGCCCGCAGGCCCUGAAAACCAGUGGCGGGCUCGCUAGUCACACCGAGCGUAGUAGCAUACGACCUCGCUCAGGGCGUGCUGCGGGUUCCAGCCGUAAAACGACCUUCGCAACCCCAAGGUUGACCUCGGAUCAGGUAGGAGGACCCGCUGAACUUAAGCAUAUCAAUAAGCGGAGGA